rnacentral:rRNA from 1 species
AUUGAACGCUGGCGGCAGGCUUAACACAUGCAAGUCGAGCGGUAACAGGAGAAGCUUGCUUCUCGCUGACGAGCGGCGGACGGGUGAGUAAUACUUAGGAAUCUACCUAGUAGUGGGGGAUAGCUCGGGGAAACUCGAAUUAAUACCGCAUACGACCUACGGGAGAAAGGGGGUAACUUGUUGCUCUCGCUAUUAGAUGAGCCUAAGUCGGAUUAGCUAGAUGGUGGGGUAAAGGCCUACCAUGGCGACGAUCUGUAGCUGGUCUGAGAGGAUGAGCAGCCACACCGGGACUGAGACACGGCCCGGACUCCUACGGGAGGCAGCAGUGGGGAAUAUUGGACAAUGGGGGCAACCCUGAUCCAGCCAUGCCGCGUGUGUGAAGAAGGCCUUUUGGUUGUAAAGCACUUUAAGCAGUGAAGAAGACUCUAGGGUUAAUACCCUUAGACGAUGACAUUAGCUGCAGAAUAAGCACCGGCUAACUCUGUGCCAGCAGCCGCGGUAA